GCUCACCUGCCGGAACAGGUAGACGGGCCGCGUUGAGGGCGCGGUGUCCUGCGGGACGUGAGGGUUCGACUCCCUCGGUGAGCACCA
rnacentral:tRNA from 1 species